rnacentral:rRNA from 2 species
AAAGAAACCAACAGGGAUUGCCCCAGUAACGGCGAGUGAAGCGGCAACAGCUCAAAUUUGAAAUCUGGCCCCAGGCCCGAGUUGUAAUUUGCAGAGGAUGCUUUGGGCGCGGUGCCUUCCGAGUUCCCUGGAACGGGACGCCAUAGAGGGUGAGAGCCCCGUCUGGUCGGACACCAAGCCUAUGUAAAGCUCCUUCGACGAGUCGAGUAGUUUGGGAAUGCUGCUCAAAAUGGGAGGUAUAUGUCUUCUAAAGCUAAAUACCGGCCAGAGACCGAUAGCGCACAAGUAGAGUGAUCGAAAGAUGAAAAGCACUUUGAAAAGAGAGUUAAACAGCACGUGAAAUUGUUGAAAGGGAAGCGUUCAUGACCAGACUUGGCCCGGUUGAUCAUCCAGCGUUCUCGCUGGUGCACUCUGCCGGUCCAGGCCAGCAUCAGUUCGCCGCGGGGGAUAAAGGUUUCGGGAAUGUGGCUCCCCCGGGAGUGUUAUAGCCCGUUGCGCAAUACCCUGCGGUGGACUGAGGUCCGCGCUCUGCAAGGAUGCUGGCGUAAUGGUCAUCAACGACCCGUCUUGAAACACGGACCAAGGAGUCGUCUUCGUAUGCGAGUGUUCGGGUGUAAAACCCCUACGCGUAAUGAAAGUGAACGGAGGUGGGAGCUUCGGCGCACCAUCGACCGAUCCUGAUGUUCUCGGAUGGAUUUGAGUAAGAGCAUACGGGGCCGGACCCGAAAGAAGGUGAACUAUGCCUGUAUAGGGUGAAGCCAGAGGAAACUCUGGUGGAGGCUCGCAGCGGUUCUGACGUGCAAAUCGAUCGUCAAAUAUGGGCAUGGGGGCGAAAGACUAAUCGAACCUUCUAGUAGCUGGUUUCCGCCGAAGUUUCCCUCAGGAUAGCAGUGUUGAACUCAGUUUUAUGAGGUAAAGCGAAUGAUUAGGGACCCGGGGGCGCUAUUUUGCCUUCAUCCAUUCUCAAACUUUAAAUAUGUAAGAAGCCCUUGUUGCUUAAUUGAACGUGGGCAUUCGAAUGUAUCAAC